GGUCCAAUAGUGUAGUGGUCAUCACAGUGGAUUUUGACGGACUGGCUUCAAAGUUCCAUUAACCCAGGUUCGAGUCCUGGUUGGACCU